rnacentral:lncRNA from 1 species
GAAGCUUCACUUGCUUCACCUUUUCACCACCAUCAUGAUAUUUUUCAAGAAUAUCCCACGCUUCUUUGGAUCUUGUGGCCUUUGCAAUCUUCUCAAAAUGAUAAGAAUCUACAUUCUGCUGAAUGUAAAACAGAGCCUUACAAUCUUUCUUCUUUGCUUCUUUGAACACCAGUCUUUGUGCUUCAGUAGGAUUCGCACCCAAAUCCUCAUAGCCAUUCUGCACAAGAUCACUCACUUCUUGCGCACCAAAGAGAGACUUCAUCAAAGCACUCCACCUAUCCCAGUUCUUUCCAUCAAGAACCAAGAUAUUGGAUGAAAAACCACCGUUGUUAUUCAUUUUACUCGCCAAAGAUCAAAUCACACCUCACUCAGUGUUUCCCAAUGUGUUUUCCCUUCACAAAUUCACUCGUGUUUCCCUAGAUUUCAACCC